CCCUCUCUUGCUAUUAAUUUUAAUGCUAUUAGUUUUAAGUAUUGGAUGAUUGUGUAGUGGAUGAUAUGCCAUUUUGCCCGAUGGAUGAUUAUGCAUGUUUUGCUACAUAGAUGGCUUGUUGUAGAUUAAUGUUCUAUGUAUAGGAUUUUUUUUAUGAUGUACUGGUAGUUGAUAGUACAAUUUUUUGGAAUAAUAGCCCCUGAAUUUUUAGAUGGAAAAGUUAGCACAGAUGAUUAGAGUCCUACUGGAGAUGACGUGGAUACAGGUGCAUUGCGUGACGAUAUUGCUACCGCUAUGGUUUCGUGGUUUAGUUCUAUCCAUCAUUUAAUGUAUUCGGAAUUUAGAAAUUAGUGUUGGUAUAUCUUUUGGUAUAUUUGUGACAUUAACCUAUAUUUGAUCUAAUUGUAAUAUAAUUAUGUAGUCAAGAUAUUCAGUAGAAAAAAGAGAUAUCAUCAGCCUUAGGGGCACUUCAGACAUUUUACCACACUCAAAAUAAUCAGGAUUGCCAAACACCUAGCUUAUCUAGAUAGCCGAUUCUACAGACAGCUAGUUUAUCACAGAAUGUUGCUUCUCAGAAAAGCGAGCUCCAGAACCUCUCAGCUCUCGCAAUUUGGAUCUGUGGAUCUCAAUUGUGUGGAAAGCCAGGAAGCGUCAAGGGUGUUCUUCUGAUGCUGCUCCGGAUGCUCAUGCUCAUAGCCCACCCAAGUCGGAAACCUGCCGUAUAAGUGAGCCUCUCGCCCGUCGCCAUCCUCCUCCCAACCCCAACCACACGGAAGGCAAAACUCGAUGGCGUAGCGAAGACAACAAACGAAACCCUAGAGCGGACCCUUGCUUUUAGUAGUGCAUGCGUACCGCCUUGGGUCGUAACUAGAAUCUUGGGUUACAGUUUGGGGUGGGAGUGGGGGAUAUUGUACGGGAUCAUGGGGCUUCCGCGGGUCGGCAGGAGGGUUGUGGUGCGGCUGUCCGGGAUCAUGGGGAUUCCGUGGUGUUUCUUGAACUGUGGAUCGGCUGUAGGGCUUUGGCGCCCCUGGAAGAGUGGAAGGGGCUGAUCCAUGGCUGAUUUCACACUUGAUAUCUGAACGGGUGAUUCUUUUAAGUUAGUUGUUUCUUGGUAACCCUCAUUGCAUUUGUGACUAAUGUGUUUGCAGUUGCCCAGUUGGGGUAUAGUGGUGUGAUCUCACUGCUGUUUUGAUACGCUCUCUGGUUUCCAAUCUCCCUCAAUCCCCUCCAAUACGAUGCAAACCGAACAAGGCCUUAGUGUCCAGCUGUUCCUGCCAAAGGCCGGGGAGGGGUUUUGCGGAAGAUGGGGGGUGUCGUCUGGGAUUAGGAAAUUCCAUUGUGUUUCUGGAGCCGUGUCGGUCGUCAGGAGGGCUGUGGUUAGGUUGUAUGGGGCCUCUGAUGUAUGGCUUACUUCACGUUUGAUGUUUGAAUGGGCAGUUGUUUUUUUCCUUGGUAAACCCUGAUUGCCUAAGUUGAUUGACUUCUGUGUUUGCAGUUGACUAGUUGGGGAAUCUUGGUUUGAUCUUACUGUUGUUUGAGAUGCCCUCUGGCUUUGCCAUUUUCAGAUUUGAUGGCAUUCAUCUGUUCCUACCCAACGCCAAGGAGAUGAUUAGCUAUUAAAGUUGAAGACUCAUGAACCUGAUUAUGACGGUAUACUUCUGCAGCGAACUUCCGUGACCAUCCACAGGGAGAUGGUGACGGCCCGUGGAGUUCUGACUGAUACAGUAGAAAAAUUGAAGUUGUUGACCACAGAAGCUAAUGGAUACCCUGAGAACUCUGAAGGUCUCGUGAAGCAAGAAACGUCGUAAGCUCUGUUAGUUUGUGAGUUCAGCCUUGAACUAGCUUAGAGGAUUCUAUUAGUUAAGCUGUUGAUUCAUCGCCGUGGUAUUGUGGCUGCAAACAUUGAUGUAAGAUAAAUUGCGGCUGUUACUUUAGCAUUUUCAGUUUCAUUCAAUCCAGUGCCAUUAUUCUUCUUCCAGCGUUACUGUGGACAAAAUUUAGCA